GGAGGAACAAGAUUCUGGCGCCCAUGAUGUGUUCGACAUAAUGACCACACAGAAAAUUGCCCACUGCUUCUGUAAAUGAUGCUAACAAGUGCCCAGUUAUUUAAUUAUCAGUGGUGGGUCAGUAACUCUUUCAGAAGAAAUCUUUAGCAUCUAUGCCUUUUUUGCUUAUAUUUGCGGCAUGUAAAAUUUACACCCUUUCAAUUUAACAAGUGAAUGUUUUUGCUGAAUAUAUAUAUGGAACAAAAUACCAUGAAUAAUUGGGGAUGAGGGCCGAGAAUAAUUUAGACUCUUCAUCAAUUGCAUCUUCCUGUUUACCAUCUAUGGUUGAAGUAACUUCCCUAUAAAUUAAGUGUUAAAAGUACAUUCUUUAUCAUUGUUUGCUAUUUAUCUAUGUAGGUGCUAUCUAUUUUUUCGUUUUACUAUCAAUAAUAUGAGAAAUUGAUUACGCCAGUUAUAUUUUGUGGUAUUGUGAAUGUUCCUUAAUGCUUGACGAAAAAGAAUAAUCAUAAUGUUGCAGCUUUUUAGUACGACUAUACUAUUGACACUUGCCAAAAAUGAAUACCCAUAUUGAUGGAUUUUUGACAGAUAAAAGAAGUCCUCACAUGGUGAAAGAAGCUCGUGAUAAGAAUAUCAAAAUUGUGGGAUCUAUUAUCAUAUGACAAUGCCUUAGAAAGAAGCAUUGUUGUUGCAACAACACCUCAACUGUAGAGAGGCAACAGAAAAUCAUCUUCUUGCAAACACAAAUCAUGUCACCUCCAUAUCAAAUGCAGGGUAAUCUUGCGGUUACACCUUCCUUCUACUUCAGAAAUAUGUUAGAAUAUCGAAUCUUCUAUUUAUUUAUUUCCUCAUACAUCAUAUAUAUGAAUAUAACAAUGGUUAUGCAUGAAUAAAUUAAUUUUUAAACAAUGGUAUCCGUCCAACUUGCAUGCUCUAUCAAUUUAAUUUUUUCCAUGUGGUAGUACUUAUUGUUGAGUUUUCCCCCAUCGGAUUGAUUUGAUAAGGAAUAAUGUGGUUCAUGCUUUUCAGUUUCUUUUUUAAGUUAAGCCCCAAAACUUUCCAUGCGGUAGAACUGAUUGUCGAGUUUUUCCCCCAUCGGAUUGAUUUGACAAGGAAUAAUGUGGUUCAUGCUUUUUCAAUUUUUUUAAGUUAAGCCCCAAAACUGUAGUAAUACUCAUUUAUGUUUCUUCCUAUCAAUAACUAAACUAUAAACUGAGAAACUUGUUAUUGUUGCGCUCAUGGUCUCUUGAUAAAUCUUUCAGUGCUUAUUUGAAUGUGAACUAGGACUUGAAAGCUAAUAUAUUCAACUCUAUUUGUCAAGAAUAAUUGUGUAAUGUGAUUGUUGUAAUUUUGCUGCUUGGACACAGUUAACAUUUUAAUCCCUCUAAAACUCCUUUCAAGUCAAUUUAGUAUUUGGCUUUGUUAAUUAUUAACUACUUAUUAUUUUUCUUACAUUUUCAGACUAUACAGCUCAGAUUUGAUCUUUAAAUAAUUUGGCGUCAUUUUAUAUGUUUUUUAGUAAUUAUAGCAGCUAACCUGCAUUUAAUUUCUUUAUGAUGAAAGAUUAUACUAUGGAAGUCAUGUGAUAUGUAUCGAGAUAAUGCCAGUCUAUUCUCUUCUACAAUGGUUUUAAAGCCACCAGCAGAUUGCCACAACUUAGCUUAAUGUAUUAGUUGUGAAUUAGAUAUCAUACAUACUUUUUGUUAAUGAUAACGAGGAUGUAUAUGAAACGGCAUAUGAUUUUGCAGACAAUAUGGAGGAUUACCGUGUUACCAGUAACUUAUUAGGUAAAGAUAUUAUGUGGUAGUAUACCGAUGACAUAAUAUCUUUAACCUAAGUUGCUCCGACACUUCAGUUUAGGUGCCGCACCCGUGUCGACACGACACUAGUAUGGGUGUGGGUAUGGGAUCCGUACCAAAUUUGGUCAAACACUUUUGGGUACUUUGACCACAACGGACGGAAAAUUCGAUAUAAGAUACAAUUUGAUUCCCGAAAUCAAAAGCAAAACUAGAAUAAUUUUGAAGAAAAUAACAUACCUUAUCUACGACAUCAAUCCUUUACUUAUUUAUAACUUGAAAAUAAAAAAGAAAUCCACACUUUACAAGCUAUACGUAAGUAUUCCACUAAAUUUCUUACAAAUUUAGAUAUAUAUAUAUAUAAUUAAUUUUAGAUCCCCGCACCCAUAUCUAUACUAUGAUCCGUAUCCCCGAAUCUUAGCAUUUACAUCUCGAAGGAUCCGACCUCUAGAUCCGCACCCGUGUCGGACACCCGCACUCGUGUCCGAGCAACUUAGUCUUUAACUCAUUUAAAUUUACUUUCAUUGUUCUCCUGACUUAUUUAUGUGUCGAGGCAUGUACCUAUUGUUUUAUAUAUGUAGACCAUUUUAUGUGCGUAGCUGAUUUGGAUAUUUAUAGUGGCAAUAUAAAGAAUGACUCUCUAUAGUUUAUAUAAAAUCAUAUACUGUGAGAAAUUUAGUUGAGUGAAGAAAAGGGAAAAAACGUACACGUAAAUUUUCUUUUAAUCAAAUUCUUGGUGUGGCAUUGAACACCAUGAUAUUGAAUGGGGCUUUGGCUACUUGAUCCCAAGAAGAAGAAAAAUUAACUAGAGUUGUGGCUGAGAAGUUAUUUAUAUAUACGUAAAAAAUGGUCUUUUAUUUUUUAUAUUCAUCGAUAAUUUACAACACGAUAGAUAUUGCUACAAUGUAAAAUAUAUUAAAUUGCCUAAAGGAAAAUAUAUUUACCUUUUUUAACUUCAUGUGUUGUUUUAUUUUGUUCUUAAAAUCCCUUAUUUAGUUAAAUUAUUAUUUGUUGAUUUAUUUUGGAAGUGUGUUUAUGACAAGAAUUGCAUAUUUCUUAACACCUAACCUUUUAGUUCUCAUUUUUUAUGAAUAGAUUCCUAGAUAUUGCUCAAAAUGCAUUGGCCAUUAAUUUUAUUUUAUUUUCCUUUCCCUUGUCCACCUUUUGCUUUUUCUCUAGGAGUUCCUUGUGUGGAUGAUCUUUUUUCAAAGUUGGAUUCUUUUUUUCAUGCAGGUGGUUGGAACAUUGUCCUUAUUGCUUGCUCAAUCUCCCAAGCUACACAAAUACUGGUCUUACACAUGCUCACCGUGUUUAUUGUAGUUGGUAAAUAUCUUAAUUAUGAUAUUUACUUGCUUUUGUUUGCCCUCUAACAUACUAUUGAUAUGCCUAUCACCUCUGUUGAGUUCAAAAUUGAGUAGUGUGCAGUUAAUAAUAGUAAUCAUAAUAAAACAGUCAUAUAUUCUUCGACGGAGACUAAAUUUCUAAAUUUUACUGUUGUAAAUACAUAAAAAGUUAUGGUGACCAUGAGUUUUUUCAUUUUUUUUUAUAUUUUGUUGUUUAUAUGUAUAUCAUUUUCUAAUUUUAUUACUUAUGAUCUUUAACUAUGUUUCUCUUCAUAGUUUGAGCGUAUAAUCAUAGUUACUUCAUCGUAGAUGAUCUCUUCAUCAAAUUGCUUAGGUUUUUCUUUCAAGCGUUCUUCUUUUCCGAUCUUCAACUUAGGCUUUGUUUGUAGAGUGAAGAAAUAACUCUCUGGUAAUUAGGGGAAUUGCAUUUGCUUCGCUUCUUCGGAACGACAUAUAAUUUCAUAAAUUCUACUUACAGUCUUUAGAGUUAUAACUUGCUUCAAUUUGUUCAAGUAAAAUUUAUUCCCU
rnacentral:lncRNA from 1 species